rnacentral:rRNA from 1 species
CACGUAGGGGGCAAGCGUUGUCCGGAUUUACUGGGCGUAAAGAGCUCGUAGGCUGUUCGAUAAGUCGGGUGUGAAACCUCCAGGCUCAACCUGGAGACGCCACCCGAUACUGUCAUGACUAGAGUCCGGUAGGGGAGCGUGGAAUUCCUGGUGUAGCGGUGAAAUGCGCAGAUAUCAGGAGGAACACCAGCGGCGAAGGCGGCGCUCUGGGCCGGUACUGACGCUGAGGAGCGAAAGCGUGGGUAGCAAACAGG